rnacentral:rRNA from 1 species
GACGAACGCUGGCGGCGUGCUUAACACAUGCAAGUCGAACGGAAAGGCCCUGCUUUUGUGGGGUGCUCGAGUGGCGAACGGGUGAGUAACACGUGAGUAACCUGCCCUUGACUUUGGGAUAACUUCCGGAAACUGGGGCUAAUACCGGAUAGGAGCUCCUGCUGCAUGGUGGGGGUUGGAAAGUUUCGGCGGUUGGGGAUGGACUCGCGCCUCAUCAGCUUGUUGGUGGGGUAGCGGCUUACCAAGGCUUUGACUGGUACCCGGCCUGAGAGGGUGACCGGCCACAUUGGGACUGAGAUACUGUCCAUACUCCUACGGUAGGCAGCAUUGGGGAAUAUUGCACAAUGGGCGGAAGCCAGAUGCAUCAACGCCGCGUGCGGGAUGACGGCCUUCGGGUUGUAAACCGCUUUCGCCUGUGACGAAUCGUGAGUGACGGUUAUGGGUAAAGAAGCACCGGCUAACUACGUGCCAGCAGCCGCGGUGAUACGCAGGGUGCGAGUGUUGUUUCGGAUUUAUUGCGCGUCCCGGGUUCUAAUGUGGUUGAUCUUGUUGUAAGUGUAAUCCUGGCCCCUUAACCCUGAGCGCGCUGUCGAUAUGGCUUGACUUGACCCUGUGGGGGAGAAUGGAAUUCCUGGUGGAGCGGUGGAAUGCGCAGAUAUCAGGAGGAACACCAGUGGCGAAGGCGGUUCUCUGGGCCUUUCCUGACGCUGAGGAGCGAAAGCGUGGGGAGCGAACAGGCUUAGAUACCCUGGUAGUCCACGCUGUAAACGGUGGGUACUAGGUGUGGGGUCCAUUCCACGGGUUCCGUGCCGUAGCUAACGCUUUAAGUACCCCGCCUGGGGAGUACGGCCGCAAGGCUGAAACUCAAAGGAAUUGACGGGGCCCCGCACAAGCGGCGGAGCAUGCGGAUUAAUUCGAUGCAACGCGUAGAACCUUACCUGGGUUUGACAUGGAUCGGGAGUGCUCAGAGAUGGGUGUGCCUCUUUUGGGGUCGGUUCACAGGUGGUGCAUGCCUGUCGUCAGCUCGUGUCGUGAGAUGUUGGGUUAAGUCCCGCAACGAGCGCAACCCUUGUUCACUGUUGCCAGCACGUUAUGGUGGGGACUCAGUGGAGACCGCCGGGGUCAACUCGGAGGAAGGUGGGGAUGACGUCAAGUCCUCAUGCCCCUUAUGUCCAGGGCUUCACGCAUGCUACAAUGGCUGGUACAGAGAGUGGCGAGCCUGUGAGGGUGAGCGAAUCUCGGAAAGCCGGUCUCAGUUCGGAUUGGGGUCUGCAACUCGACCUCAUGAAGUCGGAGUCGCUAGUAAUCGCAGAUCAGCAACGCUGCGGUGAAUACGUUCCCGGGGCU